rnacentral:rRNA from 1 species
GAUGAACGCUGGCGGCGUGCCUAAUACAUGCAAGUCGAGCGAACAGACGAGGAGCUUGCUCCUCUGACGUUAGCGGCGGACGGGUGAGUAACACGUGGAUAACCUACCUAUAAGACUGGGAUAACUUCGGGAAACCGGAGCUAAUACCGGAUAAUAUAUUGAACCGCAUGGUUCAAUAGUUAAAGACGGUUUUGCUGUCACUUAUAGAUGGAUCCGCGCCGCAUUAGCUAGUUGGUAAGGUAACGGCUUACCAAGGCAACGAUGCGUAGCCGACCUGAGAGGGUGAUCGGCCACACUGGAACUGAGACACGGUCCAGACUCCUACGGGAGGCAGCAGUAGGGAAUCUUCCGCAAUGGGCGAAAGCUUGACGGAGCAACGCCGCGUGAGUGAUGAAGGUCUUCAGAUCGUAAAACUCUGUUAUUAGGGAAGAACAAAUGUGUAAGUAACUAUGCACGUCUUGACGGUACCUAAUCAGAAAGCCACGGCUAACUACGUG